CCUACGGGAGGCAGCAGUGGGGAAUAUUGGACAAUGGGCGAAAGCCUGAUCCAGCAAUGCCGCGUGAGUGAUGAAGGCCUUCGGGUCGUAAAGCUCUUUUACCAGGGAUGAUAAUGACAGUACCUGGAGAAUAAGCUCCGGCUAACUCCGUGCCAGCAGCCGCGGUAAUACGGAGGGAGCUAGCGUUGUUCGGAAUUACUGGGCGUAAAGAGUACGUAGGCGGUUAUUCAAGUCAGAGGUGAAAGCCCGGGGCUCAACCCCGGAACUGCCUUUGAAACUAGAUAACUAGAGUCUUGGAGAGGUUAGUGGAAUUCCGAGUGUAGAGGUGAAAUUCGUAGAUAUUCGGAAGAACACCAGUGGCGAAGGCGACUAACUGGACAAGUACUGACGCUGAGGUACGAAAGCGUGGGGAGCAAACAGGAUUAGAUACCCUGGUAGUCCACGCCGUAAACGAUGAUAACUAGUUGUUCGGUCACUUGGUGACUGAGUGACGCAGCUAACGCAUUAAGUUAUCCGCCUGGGGAGUACGGUCGCAAGAUUAAAACUUAAAAGGAAAUUGACGGCUGAGANGCGAGACGACACGAGGAGAG
rnacentral:rRNA from 1 species